GAGUUUGAUCAUGGCUCAGAUUGAACGCUGGCGGCAUGCCUUACACAUGCAAGUCGAACGGCAGCACGGGAGCUUGCUCCUGGUGGCGAGUGGCGAACGGGUGAGUAAUGCAUCGGAACGUAUCCUGGAGUGGGGGAUAACGUAGCGAAAGUUACGCUAAUACCGCAUAUUCUGUGAGCAGGAAAGCGGGGGACCUUCGGGCCUCGCGCUCUUGGAGCGGCCGAUGUCGGAUUAGCUAGUUGGUGAGGUAAAGGCUCACCAAGGCGACGAUCCGUAGCAGGUCUGAGAGGAUGAUCUGCCACACUGGAACUGAGACACGGUCCAGACUCCUACGGAGGCAGCAGUGGGAAUUUUGGACAAUGGGGGCAACCCUGAUCCAGCCAUGCCGCGUGAGUGAAGAAGGCCUCGGUU
rnacentral:rRNA from 2 species